CUUCUAUCCUUAUGGUUCGCUCUCUUUUGCCAAGAUAUUUUGUUUAUCUUCAGCCAUUUCUGUCCACACCGAUAAUUAAUAAAAAUUAUAUUACAUAUUUUAGAUUAUUUUUCAUUUUUAUAUACUUAAUUAAUUUACCAUAUCAUCUUCAUAAUUCCUCAAAAGUAAACUUAAUCUUGCUCAUAUUGCGAUAUUGUUGAAGAAUUAUAACAAUGGAGGCUGAUGAAUCAUACUACACUGUUCUUGGUUUGAAAUGCGAUUCAUCGUUUGAUGAUAUUCGUCGUGCUUAUCGUAAAUUAGCUAUGAUGGCUAUGAUGGAACAAGUGGAUGGGAGGAACAAGAAGAAAGGGGAACUGAGAAGUAGGCUCAAUUUCUAGGAUGCUCAGACCGGGAAAAUCAUUGGGCGUGGUAUUGAACAAGGAGGGUUAUACUAUGUGGAUGCUACGACUCAACAACGUUAAGCUAUGCUUACUCGCGGGUCCGUUGAUCAUCAACUUUGGAUGUGGCAUCGACGUUUGGGUCAUCCUUCUCUAGCUUAUCUUAAAUUUUUGUUCCCUUCCCUCUCUCACAGUAUAAUGUCUCUAAAUUGUGAAACUUGUGUCUUAGCUAAAAUUCACACUCGUAUUUGCCUAGUGUUACUCAUUCUGCAAAACCUUUUUCUUUAAUACAUUCUGAUGUAUGGGGGUCUGCUCCAAUUUUUGGUGCACAUUAAUUGUCUUAUUACGUUUUGUUUGUGGAUGAUUGUACUCGUAUGAGUUGGGUAUAUUUUCUGAAACACAAAUCUGAGAUGUAUUCAAUUUUUGUUGCCUUUUAUAAUAUGCUUCGCACUCAGAUUAAUGCUACACCAUAAAUCUUGCAUUAUGAUAAUGGGGGAGAAUACAUUAAUUUGGCUAUGAGACAAUUCUUGUCUGAUCAUGCAUGCUUCAUCAAACCUCUUGUCCUGACACACCCUAACAAAAUGGAGUUGAUAAGUGAAAAAAUAGUACCCUACUUGAGAUCACCCGGGCCCUCUUAAUCGAGUCCCAUGCUUCUGCCUCUUUCUGGCCUAAAGCCAUUUAUACGCAACUUAUCUUACCAAUCGCCUUCCUUCUAAUCCUCUUUAUUACAAAACUCCUCUUGAAACCUUGGGUUCUUUUGUCACUCUACCUUCAUCCCAUUCUUUACCUCCUAGGGUCUUUUGGUGUCUUGCUUAUGUUCAUCUACCUAAACACAGUAGGACUAAACUUGAACAUCGGGCGGUCAAAUGUAUUUUUCUUGGUUAUGGGGUGAAUCAGAAGUAGUAUAUAUGUUCCGAUCUCCACCAGAAUAAGAUGUAUACCACUAUGGAUUGUGAGUUUUUUGAACAAACCUAUUAUUACCCCCAGCCUAAUCCUCAGGGGGAGACAUGUAGUGAUGACCUAAGUUGGUUAAUAUAUCCAGUUGUGAUUGAUUAGGAUCCAAAAGAGCAAGUAGGCAAGACCAUCGAUGUUGUCGCUGAAGGCACAAUAUCUCCUCCUCUUACUGCCCCAGUUUUAUGGGAUGAGCAUCCUACAUCACAAGAGGUACUCCCUGAGCUCCAACAAGUUACUAAUAAUAUCUCUUAUUAUAUUGCCAGUAAUGAUGUAACAAGCAGGUAUGAGCUACCCCCUAGGAGUACAAGGGAAAUUCCUCCAAGGCGAUAUGAUCCUUAAUAUGAGGCACAACGAUCUAGAUAUCCAGUAAAUAUGGGGAAUAGUGAGGCCCUGUCACAAAUAGCUGUGGUAUUCAACACCUCACUUUACUCCAGUAUUGUGCCCAAUAAUGUUGAAGAAGCUCUCCGAGAUCCAAACUGGAAAAAGGCGAUGGAGGAAGAAAUUUCUGCUCUUAACAAAAAUGAAACAUGGUAAAAAUGUGAAUUGCCAAAGGGUAAGAAAAUAGUUGGAUGCAGAUGGGUAUAUGCCAUCAAAUUCUUAGCUGAUGGUACUGUCGAAUGAUACAAGGCCGGAUUGGUAGCACAAGGAUAUACUCAGACUUACGGAGUAGACUACUCUGAGACUUUCUCUCCAGUAGCCAAAAUUGAUAUUGUCCGAGUUCUAUUCUCGAUCGCUGCAAACAAAGAUUGGCCUCUACACCAGUUUGAUGCGAAGAAUGCUUUUCUACAUGGAAAAAUUGAAGAAGAAGUGUACAUGAGGGCUCCUCCUGGCUUCUCUAGUGAUUACAAUCCAGGGGAAGGAUGUAAGUUGAAGAAAGCCUUAUAUGGUCUGAAGAAUUUUCAAGGGUAUGGUUUGGAAGAUUUACUGCAGCAAUGACAAAGUUUGGCUAUAAACAGAGUAACUCAGACCAUACUUUGUUCUUUAAGAAACAAAAGGAUUAUAUCACGUGCCUAAUCAUCUAUGUGGAUGAUAUGAUCAUUACCGAAGAUGAUAAGGAAGAAGUUUGUGUUCUUAAGGAGCAACUAUCAUGAGAAUUUGAAAUGAAAGACCUAGGGCAAUUAAGAUAUUUUCUCGGCAUUGAAGUUUUGAGGUCAAAAGAGGUAUCUUUAUUGGCCAGAGGAAAUACAUCCUUGAUUUACUAGCAGCAACAGGCAUGCUUGAUUGUAAGCCCGCAGAGACCCCCAUCAUAGCUAAUCAUGGUCUUCGGAUGAUUAAGGGAGAAAAAUUUGCAGACAGGGGACAAUACCAGAGGAUGGUUGGCAAACUAAUCUAUUUAUCUCACACACGACCAGAUAUUGCCUACGCAGUGGGAGUAGUGAGCAGGUUCAUGCAUCAACCACAGAUAUACCAUAUGACAGCAGUUAUGAGAAUCCUCAAGUACCUAAAAGGUACAAGCAGUAGAGGCAUUCUAUUCAGGAAGAAUGAUCACUUAGACCUCCUAGCUUAUACAGAUGCAGACUGGGUAGGAGACUAAGAUGAUAGGAAGUCAACUUCUGGGUACUUUACCUUUGUAAGGGGAAAUUUGGUUACAUGGAAGAGCAAGAAACAAAAAGUUGUCGCCCUAUCAAGUGCAGAGGUAGAAUUUCGUGGUAUAGCCAAAGGAAUAACUGAGAUCAUAUGGUUAAAAAGGCUCCUCAGUGAGUUGGAUUUCCCGCAAAGAAGAGCUUGCCAAUUGCUCUGUGAUAAUAAAACUGCAAUCAGAAUCUCGGGAAACCCAGUUUAACAUGACCGCGCCAAGCACGUUGAGAUCGACAGACACUUCAUAAAGGAAAAACUCCAGAAGAAAAUUACGAGUCUUCCCUUUGUAAAAUCAAGAGAUUAAUUGGCAUACAUUCUUACAAAGGCAAUCACAUCUGAGGCAUUCGAGCAAAUAUUGUUCAAGUUAGGUAUCUGUGACCUGAAGACCUAACUUGAGGGGAUUGUAGGAAUGUAAUAAGGAAGAUAUUUUAGGAAAUAUUUUUUAUAAUAUUUAAUGUGUAUAGUAUUUUUAUUUCCUUUUUAGUAUCCUUAAUCUUGUAUAAAUUAUUGCCCAUGUACUUAUUUGCAUUUAAUACAAAGUGUAUUCAAAGCCAAUAACCUUUAUUACUAGGGAUGGCAAUGGGUACUGGACCCGACCCGGAUCAGUGGAUCCGUAUCCGUUUUCACGGAUCUGGGUCCUAAAAAUAUAGACCCGUCGGAUCCGGGUCGGAUCCGGAUCCUGUUUAAUUUCACGGGUCCGGGUCCGGAUCUGGGAAAAAUACCCAGAUCCGGACCCGCGGAUCUAAAGGACCCGUUUCUUUUUUAAUUUUUUUUUUAUAUCACUAAUCACUAUUCACUGCCAGAUUUGUCUCUUUGUUAUUUACGUGCCAGAUUUGAAUAUUUAAUAGUUCUACUAAAAUUUGA